ensembl:lncRNA
AAAUGUGAAGCAGUGUGGAUGGACCUAGAGAUUAUCAUAUAAGUGAAUAGAAUUUGAGAGGAGAUAAAUGAACUGAUGAAAACAUUAUUAAAGAAAAGAGAACCAGAAAUGAUGAUCUAGGAAACUAUCAGUCCACCCAGAUGGAAAAGAAUGCUGAAGUUCAGAAAUUCACUAUCACAAAAAUACUCUGGAGAAAAUGCUGAUGGUGUGACCCUAAAAUCCUUCCUAAGAACCUCAGAAGAUCUCUUUGAGAGAUUAAGCCUGCCAUGCUCCUCUGUCCAUGGGGAUUCUCCAGGCAAGAAUACUGGAUUGGGUUGCCAUGCCCUCCUCCAGGGGAUCUUCCCAUCCAGGGAUCGGACCCAGGUCUCCCACAUUGCAGGCAGAUUCUUUACUGACUGAGCCACCAGGGAAGCCUCCUUUGAGAUCCAACCAGUCCGUUCUGAAGGAGAUCAGCCCUGGGAUUUCUUUGGAAGGAAUGAUGCUAAAGCUGAAACUCCAGUACUUUGGCC